rnacentral:lncRNA from 1 species
GGAACAGCCCUGGUUUUCAGCCCUGUGAUGUGAGUGACAGAACAAGACUCAUUGUCCCUGCCUCUCCAGAACGUGAGCAGUUUUUACACUGUGAAAUUGGAUGUAACUUCUGUUCUUCUCUUGUGCAUUUGGAGACAUCUUGGUAUGUGCUAGUAUAUCUGCAUCAAGCAAGAAAAAUGGGAGCACUGGGGAUAUUUUCGGCCUUCAUGUUUGAAUAAGAAGUCAGAUGAAUUGCCAGGCAUAUGUAUGUGGAUUAUGGAUACAGAAGAAAAUUCCCAUUGUAUAAAGAAGAAUAUAUGCUGAGCACUGAAGCAGAGAAAAUGAGAGGUGUUUCUACCAAAUGAAAUAAAUAAAGUAACCAUACACCUCUAAGAAACUUGUAGGUGUUUGAGACCUUGUGAUAAAGCUACCACAUUAAGGCAGAAUCAUUGAAUCCUUAGAGUUGGAAGGGAUCUCUGAAGGCCAUAUAGUCCAAUUCCCCUGCAAUGACCAGGGAUACCACAGCCACAUCAGAUUGCCCAGGGCCUGAUCCAGCCUCGCCUGGAAAGUCUCCAGGGAUUGGGUAUCAACGACAACACUAGAUGCUAUAAAACGUCAGUGUUACAGAAACAAAAGUUUGAAAUCUGUAACAUCCCACACAUGAAAGGAGGAAAAGUGACAAGAUUUGCAAAUCCCCCAUGAGGUUAAGGUGAAAUGACACUCAAGUGCCAGUCUGAGAAACAUUUCAUCCACUUCUGACUUAGUGUCAUCUCAAACCAGCGUUGGCUUCUGUGACCAGGUGGAGCAGUUAAGCAAAGAUCUGUAUCUCCUUGGGAACUGGAAGAAGUGUACAGUAGUAAUCACAUUUUCCUUUGCACAUUGUUUUGUUGCUUUUUUGUUUGUUUUUGGUGCAAAUUCAACAGAUUUUACAAAUGCUAAUAUCUUAACACAAUCACUCUAAACUUCACGAGUGCUGCAGUCACCUUCUUUUUAACUCUGCUACCAAUUACAUUGAUAGGGACGUUUCCUAUUUGCAAAAUCAGAAGCAAAUGCCAUCAAAUUGCUCUGUGAAUGCAUAUUGACCUCCCUUUUUAAGACUGAUAAUGAGAGGAUAUGUUUUUAUCAUCAGAUUACAGAGCAAAUAAUAAAAAUGCCGAAGAAAUUAUAAGAAAAAAAACACUCAUAUUCAUAAAUACAUCUAUGUAUGAUAUUAUAAUUUUUCUUACUCUGUUUUUCUAAUAGUAAUUCAAUACUAGAAACAAAGAAAUAUAGUUGUGAGAGUGUGAUGAAAGACUUUCUCAUUUUUCUCAUUUUUCUAAGAGACUGUGGUUAAUAUAUUCAGGUUUGGCUUUCCUAAGACCUGGUAGGCUUCAAGCACUUUGUUCCCUGAAUUUCAUUAUUCUGUUUCUGGCUUAAAUAUAGAGGAUGACAAACAAGGAGUUCUAGGCAUGCAUAUAGGCAAUCAGAGGGAAAUCCAUACUUUUUAAUCAUUGCAGAAUGGAUUUGUAUGAGUAAUUACUCUAUUAACUAUUAACACUGUGGAUGAUAUAUUCAGAGCUAAACAAUUAGUAGAAGUUUGUUUGAAAAUAUUGUGUAAACCAUUAUGCAAAAUAACUGGAUUUUUCCUUUGUAAAUAACUUGAAAUUUACAUUUUGGUCACCGUCUUUUGUGAAUAAUUACUUGAAAGACAAUUCAGAUUUGUAGAGCUAUUGUAAAUUUGUUUGUUUGUUUGUUUUGUUCUGUUCUGUUUUGUUUUUUUUAAAUUGUAUUUACUUUUUUCACAUUGUGUAUGGCAGAAUGAGGAAAGACAGAGUCAUGAGCUGGAUAAGAAAGGUAACUCUUUUAUUGUACAACACUGCAUGAAAAUGUCACUGCAUGUUUUUUGUUUUCUAAGGGGAAAAUGACUAUGCAAAGAGAAAUUCAAAUAAGUGGAAUGUUUUUUUUUUCUUCUUUGGUAGCAUAAAAGAAACAUAAAUACAUAGCAAAAAAAAAAAAAAAAAAAGUCCUUCCUACGGAUGGCCCCAUGUAUUUUCUUUGCAUGUGUUGCUACUGCACAUUUUCCUCUUGCAUGCAAAACAUGUGGCUAUGCUGUACAAGUGCAUGGCCAAAAUGCAUACCCAUAUUGCCCAAGCGUCACUAUGGAGCCCACGCUGAAUGAGCAAAUUCUCUGUAUAUUGUGCACUCUAUGUGCAGGUAGAAGGCAAAACUGCUUAUAAACCCUUAAGGGAGUAGAAUACAUAGGCACUGCCACUUCCUAAAUUUGAUGAUCUUAUAAUAUUUCUUAGUAAGCUAAUUUAUUUCAGUAAAACAAGGAUAUCACGAGGAAAUGACAACCUGUAGUAUUUUUCUCAUUCUCUUUAAAAUAUGACUUCAAAGCUACAGCACUACUAAGUUGUCUUAUUACUAUGGAUUUUUAAUGUGACUUGGAUAAUAGUAUAAAUCUCAAAAUUAUAUACGCAACCACCUUUACAUGCAAGUCAUUAGAAGGGAAUUUAAGUGGAUCACAUUUUCGAUUAGGGAUGAAAUUUAUUAAGCUUAUCUGAUCAGUUCUACAAAUGUCUCUGUGGAUUUAAGCUGGGAAAAAAAGGAGUAACCAGACACUUAAAUCUCAGCAUCUGAAUUGGAGCAUUCAUAAAGGACAGAUAUCGCUGACUGUUAUUAAGAACCCUGAAUUUUUGGAGUGGUUCCAGUUCGGAAGUCAUUCUCCUGAGGAGCACUAAUGAGGUCUCGAUUAUCCUGCUGUGGGGCAAGUGUGAGUAAUGGAGUCAUACAGUCUGCAGCUUCAUGCAGCUUGUUGGGUGUGGGCUCUUCCCUUCGAAUUGCUUAAUGAACUGUUUGACCUUGGCUAAAUCUUUUUACACUGCAAGAAACAGACAGGAAGGUUCAGGUAAAAAGUUUCCAUCCCAUCAGCACUACAAACAGUUUAAAGGAUAGCAAACUAAAAAGAAAAACAAAACUAAAUUAAGAACAUAAACAUCUCUGUGAAUGAGCCAGUAGAAUAUACAUUUUGAGAUUUGUUUGCAUAUAGAUAAUCCUCCAAUUGUACCUAAACCACAGUCACCAUUGAGAUGUAUCGCUAGUGAGACCUGCUUCCUAAAUGGUCAAUCAUUUCUCCAUUUUUAUCUUAGAAUUUAUACAAGAACCAUUAACUUCUCCAAAUCUGUGAUUUAAUUCACUUAGCUGUAAAACAAGUGAUUUUUAGUAAUGAUCCACAGAACCUGUUCAUUGUCAUGAAUCUGUAUCUAGUUCUGAACAGGUAUUCAAGCUCUGAGAUUUCUCAUAUGCACACUAUAUUCUUUCCUAGCCCACCCUGAAGUGUUAUGUUUGUUUAGAGAAGACUUCUUCGAGUAAAUGAUCACGUUUUCAGGGAAUUCAAGAUAGAACUCUGAAAAGACAAUAGGCCAAACAGAAACUGUAUUAUAUUAUCUGCCUCACUACAUAAUCACAUGCAUUUCACUAUCAAAUAUUUGCACUUUUUCCCAAAGUAAAGAUGCUCAGAAAUUAAAUAUUUUAUUCAGUGUGCAUACACACACCUCCCAAUUAUCUUAGUUUGCUCAUGUAAAUUUAGGCAAGUCUCAGGCUGGAAUAGUGUUUGAGCUUUCUAUAAGACCAUAUUAAGAUAGAGAAAUGCCAAUGUAUCCUACUGAUUUUUUGAAAUGCCAGUUGUAUUCUAUUAUAACAGAAUUUCAAGAAAUGAUGAUCAAUCACGUGGAUUUUGUUAAGAAACCAUACUUCUGCAGUUGCAAAAUAUGUUCUUUAAAAUGUUUUGUACUGCAUGUUUCUUACUGAGUCCAAUGCUAGCAGUGAAUGUAACAAUCUGUAUCUUAGAAGUCAUUAUUCUCCAAAAGCACCUCCUGUGGUAUAGGAGUACUUGAAAAUUGUCAGGAUUGAUAAACAAAGACUUGUAAAACACCUAUUUUCACAUUUUAAGUAGCCUGGUACAAAAGCCAACAUUCACAGUAAUAUUUCUGAUGUUUUUUAUUAUUUUAUGAGUAAAAGUGGAUCCACUGUAAAAGUGUUAAUAUUAUAAAAAUGAUGAAUUAGUCAAAAGUUAUUAAUGGCAAAAUAAUGUUACAAACAAUGUAUCAUAGGAAACCAUUUUAUUAAUCUUUUGCUCUGAGUUGUUAAUGGCACUGGGGACAGCAGACAUCUUAAAAUACCAGUGCCAAUUUUUCUGAGCUGCUUAUUUCUCCUAACCUGAGGCACAGCCUUAUAUUGCUGCCUCUCCUGCUUCCAUAACCAAUGUUUUAAAAAGUUUCAGAGGGAAAUUCUGGUAAACCAGGCCAGGAAGCUAAUCUGUUGAUAGGUUCCAGAUAUAGAUAUUGACUUAUUGUUAUUUUUUAAAUCAUUGGCAGGUCAACAGAGAAACCACUUCUUUGUGGAGGAAAUACUGACAGUACUGAUGCCACUGUACUGGUGUUCUGUACUAGUAUAUUGUGAUAUGUCUAGAGCAUAGCAACUGAUUUCAUAACCCAGAGAGAAGGAAGGCAUACAGAGUUGUCAAUUUUAGCUAAUGCUUCAAUUAUCAUCAUUUUGAUAGAAAGCCAUAGAGGUUAUGCCUUUCUUAAAGAUAUCCAAUAUUCUAAGCACUUUUAUACCUCUUAAAAUCCACAUCUUUCUGUACUCUGAUGAUGAGGAUAAUGAAUAGUCUCAAACUAUGUCAAAACAACUGCACUUUCAGUCUUUACAUGGAAAGAGCAGGAAAAAAAAUCAAUUUUAAUUUUCUAAAUGAUGGAAUCAAAAAAGAUUGUUAAGCAAGAGUAAUUUCUUUUUAUCUGUACAGUUUUCAGGAGUGCGCUUUUAUAAAAGAUAAGAAGUUAAGGAAGUUUUCCCUAUGUAUUCAUUAUAAAACUUCAGCUAGAAAUGCAGGUAAUUCCACCACUGUUUGCUUCUUCAACAACAAACAACAAACACCCACCAAUGUUUUGUGAUAUAGAUUUCACUCUUAUCUGUACGUAGAAAAGGGAGCUCUACAGUUAGAGCAGGACAUGCUUAUCUGCAGCCAUAGUUCACAACCCUGUUAUCUCCAGAUAGAGAGAAAAUUUCUACCUUCCCUACUAUCUUAUUGUUUAGGCAUGAUUAUUUUGGUGUUCAGCGCACUAUAUUUUUGGACUGUGUUUCUAACACAGCUAACUCCUCCAAUGCAAGGAGUCUUGGGCCUGUAACUCUAGAUUAAGGAUUGUACCCUAAUGGUUUGUACCCUAAUGGACUGAUACAGUGGCUUUUGUAUGGGCAGCUGGAUUCUAUCCAGCUGGAUUAUAUAUAUAAUGCAAAGCUGACUGUAUCCAGGGAAUGGAUUUUCAACUGAACAGAAAGGUUGAGUCCUAAUAGAAAACUCGCAUUUUCAGGGUCAAAACAAAAUGGUAGGUCAGAUAUUUGCUUUUAAGCUCCAAAAUACUGGCAAGAAAGUACCUCUGUAGCUGCCUUGGCUAGUCAGCCGAGAUUCAUUAAGCAUUUCAUUCUAACUAGUAUUUCAGUGUUCAAAGAAUACGACUGUCAAUGGACAUCAAGAGCCAUUACAUCAGCCAGCACCAAUUCUGUGAAAUCAGACCAUGGAAGCAGAAGGAGGUCAAUUUCUUCAUCCUUGGCAUCCUACCAGUACCUUUCCAAGCUACUUAUCUUCCAUUUUGCCUACGAGGAGUGUCCUUGCCACAUGCUUUUAGACUGACUAUGUUCUUGCCUGCACCUGGUCAGUGCAGUGAAUAGGGGCACUGGUGGAUGCUUUCCUAGGCUGAGCUUAGUUCAGUGUUUCCCUUAGUGUGCUGGAGGGGAACAGAAUUUUUUCGUGGAAAAGCAUCUGGAGAUUCCUCUCAAAUAAACAUGGUUGGAAAUUACAAAUUUUAACUGUUGGGUGGUGAUUAGAGGGGUGAAAAGAGCAUAUUACUAAAAGAAUGAAAUCUAAGAAAGGUACUUGUGCUUACUCCUUUAACUUACUACUUUUACUCAGCUAAAUUUUCAGUUAUUUCAGGUGCUGAAGCUGUGUAAAAUGGGCUUCAUAAACAAAGCUGAAGCUCCUGCUUGAUUUGAUUACUAGGCAUACUCACUUAGUGGUUUGACCAGUUGAUGUCAUUCAAUACAGUCAUUAAGAUACAGACUUAAUUUAAAUUGUAAAUAUUAUUUGACAAUUGUGUUGGUUAAUUUCUAAUAGAGUAAUAUAAUUCGUAGCCAUUUAGCUUUACCUAUACUAUUGUAUAUUUUUCACUAGCACUAAUAAUGCUCAUGACAGUAAGAAGGUUUCACCAUGAUUUUAAGUAAAUAAUAUAAUCAGAAAGGGCUUAAAAAGGUAGAUAGGUGAGAUGAUUUACUUAAGAGAUCUUUGUUUUUCAUCAGGGAAGCUUUCUGGCCUGAAGACAGGACGUCUUAAAGGUACAGGACAGAAGCCUUAACCUCUCUUUCACAUUCUCUAUUCAAAGAUGUUAAGUCUCUCACGCUUAGGAACACUCUGAGAAUGAAAACAUCUCCAUGUCCUGAAUUUAGUAUUUACACUAGAAAAUAGCAGCCUGUCUUUUCUAUAAAGGAGCAAUAAAGAAGUCUACAAACAGUUCAUCGGUCAGUGCAAUGUUAAUUUCUUAUUUAAAACAAAGUCCAAAGGAGAUGACUAAUUAGAUCUUGACAUAUAUUUUAAAAAAAAUUCAAAGAACCAUGUAUGUAUUACUAAAAAGUUUAAUAAUCAUUUUAUAUAUUCUCACUCAUUAACAAAAAUAGUUGUGCCUUCUUCUGAAUAGUUGCAGGACAUAUCUGUGGAAGCUGGGAAUGGGUAAACCAGAAUUUAUUUAGGUUUUGACUGAACACAGAAUUUGCUUAUGCAUCUGUAUGCAUCUUGCUCUGUUUGUACUACUGCACUUUAAAGGUCUAAUACUCUACAGAUUCAUCCCUUGGUAUUCACAUGGCAAAGUGUAGUUUCUAUUUGCACCUGAAUAAAUGUGAGACAGAGAGCUGAUUAUUUCUGACAGUCAGUAAAGUGAGAAGCAACCAUACUGACAGAAAUCCACGUGCAGUGCUAAGAACUGAAAAGGAGCAAAAUGUAGUCUGCCUGACUCCAUUAUAAAAGGAUAGUCAGUCAAGUUACUUUUACUGUAUGAUAAGCAAAGAGUACUAAAUUACAAUAUUAUCAAAUAGACACGUAAUCAAAUAUUUCAAACAAAUGCUCGUAACAAAUAAAAAUUACCUUGCUAAACUACACUUUAAAAGUGUACAUUCAACUGUUCCAUGAAGUUACGGUGAAAGAUACCACUUAAUACAGGAUAUCUGUUUCAUUCUAAUGAUGUUGUUUUAAAGCAAUAAAAAUAAAAGUAUCUUUCUACUUCUGCACACAUAUUCCUCUGUUUAUGGUAGCUUGUUUAAAAGGAUAUAUAAAUGAAAAGUUUAUUCUCUUAUCAGUCGCGUGUUUUGCAUUUAUGGGAAAUGCUUCUUCUCAGUACAGUAUUACCAACCAUGGCAAUUUUGAAACACUGAGAAAACGUAGGUAAAAACCAGAAUCUUUGCUUGGACAUAGAAAAAAUAUCCAAAAAUACAUAAAUACAAAAAAAAAAAAAAAAAAAAAAAAGGUGAAAUGAAAUCCAUGCAAUAACUUAUAAUGCAUUUUAACCACAGGAAUCAUUCCAUCAUGUAUUAAUUAUGGUCUGCAGAUAAAAUCAUAAUCGUUAUGUAAUGAAAAAUGUGAAUAAAUUACUUUUAAUAUUAUGUGCAGUAGAAAUUCAGCAAAAGCCAUGCAGUUUUUAUAUUGGCAUUUCUAGAUAUCAG